UACGUAGGGUGCGAGCGUUGUCCAGAAUUAUUGGGCGUAAAGAGCUCGUAGGCAGCUUGUCACGUCGGAUGUGAAAGCCCAAAGCUUAACCCCGGGUCUGCAUUCGAUACGGGCAGGCUAGAGUGUGGUAGGAGAGAUCGGAAUUCCUGGUGUAGCGGUGAAAUGCGCAGAUAUCAGGAGGAACACCGGUGGCGAAGGCGGAUCUCUGGGCCAUUACUGACGCUGAGGAGCGAAAGCGUGGGAAGCGAACAGG
rnacentral:rRNA from 1 species